rnacentral:misc_RNA from 1 species
GAAAUGCGAUAAGUAAUGCGAAUUGCAGAAUUCCAGUGAGUCAUCGAAUCUUUGAACGCACAUUGCGCCCUUUGGUAUUCCGAAGGGCAUGCCUGUUCGAGCGUCAUUAUCACCCCUCAAGCCCCUCGGCUUGGUGUUGGACGGUUUGGCGGAAGACCUUUCCAGUCUCUGCCCCUCCCAAAGACAAUGACGGCGGCCUCGUUGGACCCCCGGUACACUGAGUUCUUCACGGGACACGUACCGGAUCAAGGGUGUGCGGGGCACGGUCCUCCUCCCCCUCGCGGGAGAAUCUUUAUAUCAAGGUUGACCUCGGAUCAGGUAGGGAUACCCGCUGAACUUAA